UACGGGAGGCAGCAGUGGGGAAUUUUGGACAAUGGGCGAAAGCCUGAUCCAGCAAUGCCGCGUGCAGGAUGAAGGCCUUCGGGUUGUAAACUGCUUUUGUACGGAGCGAAACGGUCUUCUUUAAUACAGAGGGCUAAUGACGGUACCGUAAGAAUAAGCACCGGCUAACUACGUG
rnacentral:rRNA from 1 species